AUGCAUCCCGUGUCGACGCAACGCCUGGCGCCCGUCCCCAGCGCCAACGCCAGCGCCAACCACCAGCGCGCGCUUCUCCCGCCGUCUCCUCUGCAGCUUCGGCCACGGACCAGCACCAGGUCCUCGGCGUCCGCCAGAUCGGCGCCGCGCGCCGUCUCGCCCGCGACCCCAACCACCGCAGCCACCAACGACCCGGACGCCGGCGCGCAGCCAGAUAAGUGGGCGGAGUUCGCGGCGCGGGUGUCCGGCGAGUGGGACGGCUUCGGCGCGGACUUCACGGUGGCCGGCGAGCCCGUGGAGCUGCCGGCCAACGUGGUCCCGGACGCGUACCGCGAGUGGGGGGUCCAGGUCUUCGACUGGCAGACGCAGUGCCCCACCCUGGCCGACCCCGCCGCGCCGGGCGCGCUCCACUACCGCCUCGUCCGCCUCCUCCCCACCGUCGGCUGCGAGGCCGACGCCGCCACCGUGCACACCUCCCACCAGCGCCACGUCUCCUCCGCCACCGCCUUCACCUACAGCGGCGGGGGCUCCUACGUGGCCACGUGGCCCAAGGGCCCCUCGGCCGUGCUGGAGGUGGAGCACUGCAUCUGCCACCCGGACAACGCGGAGGUGCGGGUCAGGCUGGUGCAGACGGUGGCGCUGGCCAAGGACGCGGCCCGGCUGCGCGGCGUCAAGGUGUUCUCCGAGCAGUGGUACGGCCCCUACCGCAACGGCGACCAGCUCGGCGGCUGCGCGCUCCGCGAGUCCGCCUUCGCCGCCGGUGAGAGGCUCGCCGCGUCGGAGGUGGCGGGGCAGUGGGAGAGCGCCGCCAGGUUUUCCGGCGCGCUGGACCCCGUGACGGGCAAGUUCGCGGGGCUGGAGCCGGAUCAGGAGCCGCGGAGGACAGCGAGGGACGGUGCCGGCGUGGUGACGCUGCUGCCGAAGCAGCUGUGGAGCUCGCUCAAGGUGAGCGGCGACGGCGAGGACGGCGAGGUGGUGUGCGAGGUCGGGUGGCUGCUGGGCCACGGCAGCGCGGUCACGUCGACGUGCGUCCUCUCUAGAGACGGAGACGUCAAGGAGAUAGCUGCGGCGCAGGAGACCCGGGUGUCGGAGGCCACCUGA
rnacentral:rRNA from 1 species